CGUAACAAGGUUUCCGUAGG
rnacentral:ncRNA from 2 species